AGCGAACGCUGGCGGCAGGCUUAACACAUGCAAGUCGAACGGGCCUUUCGGGGCUAGUGGCGGACGGGUGAGUAACGCGUGGGAACGUGCCCAAAGGUAGGGAACAACCGAGGGAAACUUCGGCUAAUACCCUAUGUGCCCGGAAGGGGAAAGAUUUAUCGCCUUUGGAGCGGCCCGCGUCUGAUUAGCUAGUUGGUGGGGUAAAGGCUCACCAAGGCUUCGAUCAGUAGCUGGUCUGAGAGGAUGGCCAGCCACACUGGGACUGAGACACGGCCCAGACUCCUACGGGAGGCAGCAGUGGGGAAUCUUGCGCAAUGGGCGAAAGCCUGACGCAGCCAUGCCGCGUGGAUGAUGAAGGUCUUAGGAUUGUAAAAUCCUUUCAGCGGGGACGAUAAUGACGGUACCCGCAGAAGAAGCCCCGGCUAACUUCGUGCCAGCCGCCGCAGUAA
rnacentral:rRNA from 1 species